rfam:Corynebacterium matruchotii ATCC 14266 gcontig_1125149795841, whole genome shotgun sequence.
ACUCAGGCACGAUCGUCAGAUCCGUUUUGCUGGCGAAGCGACCUGAAGUUUCAAUCCUGAGGGA